CUCGUGGCCAUGGACGGGAGGGGACGGGUCAGCGCUACUCCUUCAAGCUGGUCCUCAAAUCUGGUGUUCCUGGUGGCUGUGUGAGAAGAAGGGGAAGAAGAAGAGUAGAGGAGUAUGGUAUCAGACGCCGAGGAUGCUGAGGCCGUAUAGAAGUGGGGACGAGACUUGUGAAGAAAUACGUGGAACAAACAAUCGGAGGAGGCAAGAGACCACCAAUGAUCAGCUGUCCGUCCCAGCGUAGCCCCAGCAUCAGUUAGCCCAGUAGAACGCCUCCAGCAGGACUAUACACCGCCACAGGAAGACGGAGAAGGCUCGGUGGAACUAGACAGAGUACGUCAUUGCUGCCGCUGACGAUGAUGCUGAAGAGGAGAAAGAAGAGGAGGACGAGGAGAACGACUAGUAAGGGGAGGAGGAAGAGAAACUCGGCGUCUCCUCUAUCGCUCCCCCGGCGAGGCUCAGCUGCACUUCCCAAACGAGCGACGGAGAAAGAUUUGUUAUCAGUCUCUCGUCUUAAGUGUGUGUCGAAUCUUCGCCCCGCCCCCCGAGCUUGAGGUGUGAGUUCCUGCACCGUGAGGCUGAACCGUGCGCUGCCGCCGACUUCUGGGAGAGGAUGAAGCAUGGUAUUAGCCAGGG